GAUGAACGCUGGCGGCGUGCCUAAUACAUGCAAGUCGAGCGAACAGACGCGGAGCUUGCUGCUCUGACGUGAGCGGCGGACGGGAGUGAAACACGUGGAAAAUCCACCUAUAAGUGUGGUAUAAUUUCGGGAAUGCGGAGCUUAUAGCGGAUAAUCUACUGAUCCGUAUGGUGCGAUGGUGAAAGACGGUUUUGGUGUAACGUAUCGAUGGAUCUCGGCCGCAUUAGCUAGUUGGUAAGUUAACGGCUUACCAAGGCAACGAUGCGUAGGCGACCUGAGAGGGGGGUCGCCCACACUGGAACUGAGACACGGUCCAGGCUCCUACGGGAGGCAGCAGUAGGCAAUCUUCCGCAAUGGGCGAAAGCUUGACGGAGCAACGCCGCGUGAGUGAUGAAGGUCUUCGGAUCGUAAAACUCUGUUAUUAGGGAAGAACAAAUGUGUAAGUAACUAUGCACGUCUUGACGGUACCUAAUCAGAAAGCCACGGCUAACUACGUG
rnacentral:rRNA from 1 species